rnacentral:lncRNA from 1 species
CAGCAAGUAUUUUUCCUACUGAGCCCCAGUUGUCCACUCAUCUUUUUGCUGGCCUCAGUCCCACCCUAUGCUGGUGUCCCAGCUUCUCCUUCAGCCCCAGUGAUUCUGUGCAGCCUUCUUGGAGAAAUGGCCAGAAGCUUGCUGACUCUCACCUCCCAACAGAGAGAGUCUGGAUUUGUGCUGACUUGUGAAUGAAGAAAGGGUUGUGACCAGUUUGACCAAUAGACCAUAAUGGAAUGAAGCUAUGUGAAUUCCAAGGGCGGGUCAUCAGAGGCCAUGUGGGUUCUGCUUGGUUCUCUUAGAAUGUUCAUUCUUAGG